CAAAUACUCCCUCCGUCCGGAAAUACUUCUCAUCAAAAUGGAUAAAAGGAAAUGUAUCUAGACGUAUUUUAGUUUUAGAUACAUCUCUUUUUAUCCAUUUUGAUGACAAGUAUUUUCGGACGAAGGGAGUAGAAA
rnacentral:pre_miRNA from 1 species